GAUGAACGCUGGCGGCGGGCCUAAUACAUGCAAGUCGAGCGAAGCGGGCAGGGGGGAGAAACACGUGGAGAAACUCCUAUAAGACUGGGGUUACUUCGGGAAACCGGAACUAAUCCGGAUUCUUUGAGCAGGAUCCAGGCUGCAUUAGCUAGUGUGUAAGGUAACGGCUUACAAAGGCAACGAUGCAUAGCCGACCUGAGAGGGUGAUCGGCCACACUGGAACUGAGGCACGGUCCAGACUCCUACGGGAGGCAGCAGUAGGGAAUCUUCCGAAAUGGGCGCAAGCCUGACGGAGCAACGCCGCGUGAGUGAUGAAGGUCUUCGGAUCGUAAAACUCUGUUAGUAGGGAAGCGGUACCUGAUCAGAAAGCAACGGCUAACUACGUGCCAGCAGCCGCGGUAAUAC
rnacentral:rRNA from 1 species